CCCUUAGAGUUUGAUCCUGGCUCAGGACGAACGCGGGCGGCGUGCCUAAUACAUGCAAGUAGAACGCUGAAGAGAGGAGCUUGCUCUUCUUGGAUGAGUUGCGAACGGGUGAGUAACGCGUAGGUAACCUGCCUGGUAGCGGGGGAUAACUAUUGGAAACGAUAGCUAAUACCGCAUAAAAUUGAUUAUCGCAUGAUAAUCAAUUGAAAGGUGCAAAUGCAUCACUACCAGAUGGACCUGCGUUGUAUUAGCUAGUUGGUGGGGUAACGGCUCACCAAGGCGACGAUACAUAGCCGACCUGAGAGGGUGAUCGGCCACACUGGGACUGAGACACGGCCCAGGCUCCUACGGGAGGCAGCAGUAGGGAAUCUUCGGCAAUGGACGGAAGUCUGACCGAGCAACGCCGCGUGAGUGAAGAAGGUUUUCGGAUCGUAAAGCUCUGUUGUAAGAGAAGAACGAGUGUGAGAGUGGAGAGUUCACACUGUGACGGUAUCUUACCAGAAAGGGACGGCUAACUACGUGCCAGCAGCCGCGGUAAUACGUAGGUCCCGAGCGUUGUCCGGAUUUAUUGGGCGUAAAGCGAGCGCAGGCGGUUAGAUAAGUCUGAAGUUAAAGGCUGUGGCUUAACCAUAGUACGCUUUGGAAACUGUUUAACUUGAGUGCAAGAGGGGAGAGUGGAAUUCCAUGUGUAGCGGUGAAAUGCGUAGAUAUAUGGAGGAACACCAGUGGCGAAGGCGACGGUCUGGGCCGCAACUGACGCUCAUUCCCGAAAGCGUGGGGAGCAAAUAGGAUUAGAUACCCUGGUAGUCCACACGGUAAACGAUGGAUACUCGCUGUUGGCGAUAUACUGUCAGCGGCUUAGCGAAAGCGUUAAGUAUCCCACCUGGGGAGUACGCCGGCAACGGUGAAACUCAAAGGAAUUGACGGAAGGGCG
rnacentral:rRNA from 1 species